rnacentral:lncRNA from 1 species
AGUUGCACUUUUAAAUGGUGAAAGAAAGGUUAAGGUCCCUGUAUGUCGACACUUGGGUGUGUUCGUUUUGUUUUUUUCGGUGACGUGGCAUUUCCGUUGGUAGUCUUGCAAAAAAGUUUGGCUCACCUGGCUCACCUGGAGAAAAAUAAUCCGAUAUCUUCAACAGUAUUUUGUUGUCACUGCUGUAGCGGUGGUGCAUCAAGUUUUACCCCUGUAUAACGUCCGAAAAUUAUUUACCUUCUAAAAAGAUGUGGUAUGAUUGCCAACGAGACUACUCUCCACAAGAUACCCAAUAACACAAAAAAACUAAACUAAAUCCAGGA